rnacentral:rRNA from 1 species
UACAGGGGGUGCAAACGUUGCUCGGAAUUAUUGGGCGUAAAGCGCGCGUAGGCGGCUACUUAAGUCGGAUGUGAAAGCCCUUGGCUCAACUGAGGAAGUGCACCCGAAACUGAGUGGCUUGAGUACUAAAGAGGGUCGCGGAAUUCCCGGUGUAGAGGUGAAAUUCGUAGAUAUCGGGAGGAACACCGGUGGCGAAGGCGGCAUCCUGGACCGACACUGACGCUGAGGAGCGAAAGCCAGGGGAGACAACGGGAUUAAGAAACCC